UUAGGGGCGAACGGGUGAUAACCAGUUAGAAAUUUCCCCUUUUAGAAUGGGAUAAUUACUGGAAACGGUUGUUAAUCCCGGAUUUCUUCUUUGUCCCGCAUGGUGCUUGACAAAAGCUUAAGAUGCAUUAAAGGAUGUUCUCGCGGCGUAAUUAGUUUAGUUUGGUGAGAUAGUGGCUCACCAAGACAAUGAUACGUAGCCGGCCUGAGAGGGUGACCCGCCACACUGGGACUGAGACACGGCCCAGACUCCUACGGGAGGCAGCAGUAGGGAAUCAUCGGCAAUGGGGGAAACCCUGACCGUGCAAUGCCGCGUGAGUGAUGAAGGCCUUCGGGUUGUAAAGUUCUGUCCUUGGGGACGAUAAUGACGGUACCCAAGGAGGAAGCCCCGGCUAACUACGUGCCAGCAGCCGCGGUAAUACGUAGGGGGCGAGCGUUGUCCGGAAUUAUUGGGCGUAAAGGGUUCGUAGGCGGUAAUACAUGUCAGAUGUGAAAUCUUGUGGCUUAACCACAUCAAGCAUCUGAAACUGUAUAACUUGAGUGGAGGAGAGGUAAGUGGAAUUCCUAGUGUAGCGGUGAAAUGCGUAGAUAUUAGGAAGAAUACCAGUAGCGAAGGCGACUUACUGGCCUCUAACUGACGCUGAGGAGCGAAAGCAUGGGUAGCCAACAGGAUUAGAUACCCUGGUAGUCCAUGCCGUAAACGGUGGGCGCUAGGUGUGGGGACCUUCCCACGGUUUCUGCGCCGUAGCUAACGCA
rnacentral:rRNA from 1 species